GGAGACGUGGCCGAGUGGUUUAAGGCACUCCCUUGCUAAGGGAGCGGCCCUCGAAAGGGGGUCCGUGGGUUCGAAUCCCACCGUCUCCG
rnacentral:tRNA from 1 species